UUAUCGCUGGGCGAUGGAGUCCGCCGGGGAGCGCCUGCUCCCAAACCGUCCCAACUGGACUGAUGGCUCCUACCUGAAC
rnacentral:ncRNA from 2 species